GUGCCAGCAGCCGCGGUAAUACAGGGGGUGCUAGCGUUGUUCGGAAUUACUGGGCGUAAAGGGCGCGUAGGCGGUCUUGCAAGUCAGGAGUGAAAUCCCGGAGCUUAACUCCGGAAUUGCUUUUGAAACUGCAAGGCUAGAGUAUGUUAGAGGAAAUCGGAAUUCCUAGUGUAGAAGUGAAAUUCGUAGAUAUUAGGAAGAACACCGGUGGCGAAGGCGGAUUUCUGGGACAUAACUGACGCUGAGGCGUGAAAGCGUGGGGAUCAAACAGGAUUAGAUACCCUGGUAGUCCACGCCGUAAACGAUGGAUACUCGCUGUAGCUGGUAAUCAAUCCGGCUGUGGCUUAGCUAACGCAUUAAGUAUCCCGCCUGGGAAGUACGGUCGCAAGAUUAAAACUUAAAGGAAUUGACGG
rnacentral:rRNA from 1 species